rnacentral:rRNA from 1 species
UACGUAGGGUGCGAGCGUUGUCCGGAAUCAUUGGGCGUAAAGCGCGUGUAGGCGGUUCGGUAAGUCCGCUGUGAAAGUCGGGGGCUCAACCCUCGGAAGCCGGUGGAUACUGUCGGGCUAGAGUACGGAAGAGGCGAGUGGAAUUCCUGGUGUAGCGGUGAAAUGCGCAGAUAUCAGGAGGAACACCAAUUGCGAAGGCAGCUCGCUGGGACGUUACUGACGCUGAGACGCGAAAGCGUGGGGAGCAAACAGG